rnacentral:rRNA from 1 species
UACGAAGGGGGCUAGCGUUGUUCGGAAUUACUGGGCAUAAAGCGUGCGCAGGCGGCUUCUCAAGUCAGGGGUGAAAGCCCAGAGCUCAACUCUGGAAUUGCCUUUGAGACUGAGUGGCUUGAGUACGAGAGAGGUGAGUGGAAUUCCCAGUGUAGAGGUGAAAUUCGUAGAUAUUGGGAAGAACACCGGUGGCGAAGGCGGCUCACUGGCUCGUAACUGACGCUCAUGCACGACAGCGUGGGGAUCAAACGGG